rnacentral:rRNA from 1 species
CCUGCUUCCAGGAAAAGCCUCUAAGCAUCAGGUAACAUCAAAUCGUACCCCAAACCGACACAGGUGGUCAGGUAGAGAAUACCAAGGCGCUUGAGAGAACUCGGGUGAAGGAACUAGGCAAAAUGGUGCCGUAACUUCGGGAGAAGGCACGCUGAUAUGUAGGUGAAGUCCCUCGCGGAUGGAGCUGAAAUCAGUCGAAGAUACCAGCUGGCUGCAACUGUUUAUUAAAAACACAGCACUGUGCAAACACGAAAGUGGACGUAUACGGUGUGACGCCUGCCCGGUGCCGGAAGGUUAAUUGAUGGGGUUAGCGCAAGCGAAGCUCUUGAUCGAAGCCCCGGUAAACGGCG